CCUUGAUCAGUGGCUGGCCUGCUCUGAGCCUGUCCCCAGGAAGGAGGGGUGAGGUUUGCCAGCCUGGCUGAUGUAAGGACUUCCCUUCCAGUCCUCUGUGAAGUUGCGGCUGCUCUGCAGCCAGGUACUAAAGGAGCUGCUGGGACAGGGGAUUGAUUAUGAGAAGAUCCUGAAGCUCACGGCUGACGCCAAGUUUGAGUCAGGCGAUGUGAAGGCCACAGUGGCAGUGCUGAGUUUCAUCCUCUCCAGUGCGGCCAAGCACAGUGUCGAUGGCGAAUCCUUGUCCAGUGAACUGCAGCAGCUGGGGCUGCCCAAAGAGCACGCGGCCAGCCUGUGCCGCUGUUAUGAGGAGAAGCAAAGCCCCUUGCAGAAGCACUUGCGGGUCUGCAGCCUACGCAUGAAUAGGUUGGCAGGUGUGGGCUGGCGGGUGGACUACACCCUGAGCUCCAGCCUGCUGCAAUCCGUGGAAGAGCCCAUGGUGCACCUGCGGCUGGAGGUGGCAGCUGCCCCAGGGACCCCAGCCCAGCCUGUUGCCAUGUCCCUCUCAGCAGACAAGUUCCAGAUCCUCCUGGCAGAACUGAAGCAGGCCCAGACCCUGAUGAGCUCCCUGGGCUGAGGAGAAGGGUGUUCCAGGCCUGUGUGGAGCCGCCCUGCCCAUAUGGAGUCACGCCCUCUGAACUGCUCUUCGGGAGGCAGCCCUGGUUCUAGGAUGCUGAGGCCCUGGCCCGGACUCUGGCCUCCCAGAUCCCCAGCUGCCUCACUUCUCUCUUGAGAACUUGGCUCAGGGCUCCUGAGGACCUUUCCCAGCAUUACCUUCCCUUCCCUUGAAAGGCAAUUGUUGGCUGUUUUCAUAAGCAGGAAAAAUAA
rnacentral:sRNA from 1 species